CCUACGGGUGGCAGCAGUGAGGAAUAUUGGUCAAUGGGCGCGAGCCUGAACCAGCCAAGUCGCGUGAGGGAAGACGGUCCUAUGGAUUGUAAACCUCUUUUGUCGGGGAGCAAAAGACGCCACGCGUGGCGUUCCGAGAGUACCCGAAGAAAAAGCAUCGGCAAACUCCGUGCCAGCAGCCGCGGUAAUCCGGAGGAUGCGAGAGUUAUCCGGAUUUCUUGGGUUAAAAGGGUGCGCAGCGGGAAGAUCAAGUCAGCGGUAAAAUUGAGGGGCUCAACCUCGUCGAGCCGUUGAAACUGGUUUUCUUGAGUGAGUGAGAAGUAUGCGGAAUGCGUGGUGUAGCGGUGAAAUGCAUAGAUAUCACGAAGAACUCCGAUUGCGAAGGCAGCAUACCGGCGCUCAACUGACGCUCAUGCACGAAAGUGUGGGUAGCGAACAGGAUUAGAUACCCUUGUAGUC
rnacentral:rRNA from 1 species